rnacentral:hammerhead_ribozyme from 1 species
AUCUGGCUGACGAGUCCAAAAUAGGACGAAACACACAUCCUGGAU